rnacentral:rRNA from 1 species
GAUGAACGCUCGCGGGAGGCCUAACACAUGCAAGCCGAGCGGUAUUGUUUCUUCGGAAAUGAGAGAGCGGCGUACGGGUGCGUAACACGUGUGCAACCUGCCUUUAUCUGGGGGAUAGCCUUUCGAAAGGAAGAUUAAUACUCCAUAAUAUAUUGAACGGCAUCGUUUAAUAUUGAAAGCUCCGGCGGAUAGAGAUGGGCACGCGCAAGAUUAGCUAGUUGGUGAGGUAACGGCUCACCAAGGCGAUGAUCUUUAGGGGGCCUGAGAGGGUGAUCCCCCACACUGGUACUGAGACACGGACCAGACUCCUACGGGAGGCAGCAGUGAGGAAUAUUGAUCAAUGGGUGCAAGCCUGAACCAGCCAUCCCGCGUGAAGGACGACUGCCCUAUGGGUUGUAAACUUCUUUUGUAUAGGGAUAAACCUACCCUCGAGAGGGUAGCUGAAGGUACUAUACGAAUAAGCACCGGCUAACUCCGUG